rnacentral:rRNA from 1 species
UGAACCUACAGAAGGUUCAUUG